rnacentral:rRNA from 1 species
AGAGUUUGAUCAUGGCUCAGGAUGAACGCUGGCGGCGUGCUUAAUACAUGCAAGUCGAGCGGUAACAGGAGAAGCUUGCUUCUCGCUGACGAGCGGCGGACGGCUGAGUAACGCGUAGGAACGUACCCCGAAGUGAGGAAUAACUGCCCGAAAGGGUGGCUAAUGCCGCAUGUGCUCUAAGGAGUAAAGCUUCGGCGCUU